UCCGACUUCAUGGGGUCGAGUUGCGGACCCCAAUCCGAACUGAGACCGGCUUUUUGGGAUUCGCUCCACCUUACGGUAUCGCAGCCCUCUGUACCGGCCAUUGUAGCAUGCGUGAAGCCCAAGACAUAAGGGGCAUGAUGAUUUGACGUCAUCCCCACCUUCCUCCGAGUUGACCCCGGCAGUCUCCCAUGAGUCCCCGGCAUAACCCGCUGGCAACAUAGGACGAGGGUUGCGCUCGUUGCGGGACUUAACCCAACAUCUCACGACACGAGCUGACGACAACCAUGCACCACCUGUGUACGAGUGUCCAAAGAGAACCCCGUCUCGGGGGCUUUCUCGUACAUGUCAAGCCUUGGUAAGGUUCUUCGCGUUGCAUCGAAUUAAUCCGCAUGCUCCGCCGCUUGUGCGGGCCCCCGUCAAUUCCUUUGAGUUUUAGCCUUGCGGCCGUACUCCCCAGGCGGGGCACUUAAUGCGUUAGCUGCGGCACGGAACUCGUGGAAUGAGCCCCACACCUAGUGCCCAACGUUUACGGCAUGGACUACCAGGGUAUCUAAUCCUGUUCGCUCCCCAUGCUUUCGCUCCUCAGCGUCAGUUGCGGCCCAGAGACCUGCCUUCGCCAUCGGUGUUCCUCCUGAUAUCUGCGCAUUCCACCGCUACACCAGGAAUUCCAGUCUCCCCUACCGCACUCUAGUCUGCCCGUACCCGAUGCAAGCCCGAGGUUGAGCCUCGGGAUUUCACACCAGACGCGACAGACCGCCUACGAGCUCUUUACGCCCAAUAAUUCCGGACAACGCUUGCGCCCUACGUAUUACCGCGGCUGCUGGCACGUAGUUAGCCGGCGCUUCUUCUGCAGGUACCGUCACUUGCGCUUCUUCCCUGCUGAAAGAGGUUUACAACCCGAAGGCCGUCAUCCCUCACGCGGCGUCGCUGCAUCAGGCUUGCGCCCAUUGUGCAAUAUUCCCCACUGCUGCCUCCCGUAGGAGUCUGGGCCGUGUCUCAGUCCCAGUGUGGCCGGUCGCCCUCUCAGGCCGGCUACCCGUCGACGCCUUGGUAGGCCAUCACCCCACCAACAAGCUGAUAGGCCGCGAGCCCAUCCCCCACCGAAAAACUUUCCAACCCACACCAUGCGAUGCGAGCUCAUAUCCGGUAUUAGACCCCGUUUCCAAGGCUUAUCCCGAAGUGGAGGGCAGGUUGCUCACGUGUUACUCACCCGUUCGCCACUGAUCCACCCAGCAAGCUGGGCUUCACCG
rnacentral:rRNA from 1 species